GUCUUAGGCAUGACAAUGACCAUAGGAGUUGGCUAUACACCGUAAUUUAGAUCUGGGACCAGGCUAAGCUUUGGCGUGUUGGCUGUCACAUCACCUCCAGUGACUUGCAUGCCUAGAGAGGAACCGUGCAAGAAGCCUGAUAAUCGCACUGACAUGAUAAGAUAAAAACCUUGACUCAGAAGUUUGCGGACCGUGCACGUCGAGUGUGAAGUAUCGAAGCAGUUAGGCGGUUUAAACACAAACCAGGGCCUCUGGAUAAUGUAGAGCAAUGCUACACAUUGCUGCACACUUUUGCAUUGGUAUCUACACUGCACGUAAUAUGAACAGUUACCAUUCCUUGGAAGCCCAAUACCUUAUUUGAAAGUGGAUGGGUUCAAGUGAUUUAUCAUCACAAACCUGGGGCGUCCGACCCCACCAUCAUGAAGGCUCAAGUCAAACCAUUGUGGAGGGUGACGGAGGAAUCACAUCAGACAUGGGUGGCUGUACACAGAGUCCUGGAGGUCAAGUGUCCUUUCAAUUGGGCACAAGACAACAGCACUCUGGACGACUGGCUACAGAACAAGAGAGGGCAUCUGGCAAGUGCAACUUCUUUGAGGAAGAACCACUUCUCCAACACUCAGGUGCAGAUGUUUGUAAAACAAGAACUGAUUUCAUCACGUGGACCCCCAAACAAUGUAUAAUUGUCCGUGUCACGUGAGAUGAUGACUUCCUCACCAAGGCUCUGGACACAAUAAACCGAUUCUGGGCCAAGUAUAUCUACAACAAAAUGGUUGGCACAGCCCAUAGACAAGGUACAAACUCUAGGUUGUGAUAUAGGUCUACUGUAUAUUCAUUUCAUAUCCUGUAACUGAUAUAAUAAGAGAUUGGGAAUAAGUUAAGAAAACCAAGACUAUGGGCUGAAUUCAAUCCGUGUCGAGGAAGAUCCACCUUUUAUUAGCUCGUCUGAAAUUUAAAGGCCAUGUUCCCGUGUUCGCGGAGACUGCAUUCGCGUUAAACGCUGCAUAUGUCGGCUCAAUCGGAAAUGACCUUUGCAUUUUAAUACGGAUCUUCCGCGAUACGGAUUGAAUACAGCCUUAUAUCUGGUUCCACGCUGGCUGUAAAAAACAACAACCAAAAACAAUUGACGGUGAUGCGUUUCCUUCUUAGGAGACAGACUCCAGUCUACAGACAGUCCAGGGUGGAAUACAGUGCAGAGAGGAAGAAUGAGACACUGGUACAUGAAGAAAAGUUAGGAAUACAGUAGUUCAGUCGAAGGACUCAACCCUGAAUAAUGUAAUCGGUCUGGUGAAAAUAAAUUAUAAAUUAACUGUAUUUAGAUUGGCACUUCAGGACCCUUUUUAGGCAUCACUUUGGCUGUCACAUUCAUUUGUAUUCUUGUAAACAACACUAUCAGACAUGUUCACCAUAGCAGCACAUACGUGUAGUAUGUUGUCAACCAUCGUCUCUUCUCGCUUGUCAACUUCAUCCCUAAGGGUUCUUCAAGAAGCAAAGUGGAUGUGACCCAUGGAGUAUAUGGAAUCUUCCCUUCAGGACACCGAUCACCCUCUCUAUAGAAUAGCAAUCACCUCUAAUCGCCAUGUACAUACAUUUGACCUGGUGAAAUGGUGCUACAGUGUAUACAACACAGACUAAAUAUACAGACAGAAUAUGGACAGAACAAUUUACCCAUAGUCUAGUUGUAGUACAUACACAUAAUACGCAAUAGUAAGUCAUUUAAGUUAAAAAGUAUACAAAAUAAAGUGUGUGGGUGUAAAUAGCUAAUGCAGUUGAUGAGGAGUUGUCAGAGAUAUACACUGACUGACUGUACUUUUGGGCAUGUUCUCGUUAUUUGACAGACAGCUUCAAAAGUACCGCUGAAAGAAGCCAACUUUGAAUGACGGUCUAUGGGACGAACCGGAACGUGUCCCCUGAACGAGGGGCAUGGCUUUGCGUGUUGUAAUUUAUGACGUGAAGCGGACGCUGGGUAUGCCUGGUCCUGGCCUUGUAUUCAAUGAAGUGCAAGCCUAUGACUAUCAGUAUUUCAGCAUCAGCAUCAGCAUCAGUUUCAUUUCAAUCUUUGUUUAACAACACUUUGCAUCCAUGUGGUUACCCAUAAUUAACCUCUAAUAUUGACAUUAGGUGUUUAUGUGUGUGUAAAGUAAGCUUUCUGAUCCUGUGUUUUAGUGCAUGUGAAUCCGAUAGCCCUGAUCAUUGAACAGUUUUAGUGAAUGCACAAUUACUAUCCGAUAGAA